UACGAAGGGGGACUAGCGUUGUUUCGGAUUUUACUGGGGCGUAAAGCGCGCGUAGGCGGAUCGCUAAGUCAGGGGGUGAAAAUGCCGAGGCUCAACCUCGGAACUGCCUUUUGAUACUGACGAUCUGGAGAUUGGGGAGAGGUGAGUGGAAUUCCGAGUGUAGAGGUGAAAUUCGUAGAUAUUCGGAGGAACACCAGAAGCGAAGGCGGCUCACUGGCCCAAUACUGACGCUGAGGCGGCGAAAAG
rnacentral:rRNA from 1 species